rnacentral:sRNA from 1 species
GGGAUUGGACACACCUGGAAUGGUUCGAACGCAUGAUCUUGGGAAACAGAGGCGCUGGCAAAAUUGAAAAAUAAAGCACAAAAAAUGCAUAGCUCCGGGGGAUCGAACUCAUGAAGGCAGGACACAGAACCCUCAGGGGUUAAACCACACGUGUGAAUAAACUCACAUGCUCAUCCAUUUCUGAUUUCAGCCGAUGAGCUUUUCUCCCCUUUUUCUCUCUAACCUCGAGCCCAGAGCCAUGAGAGCUCUUAAACCCUAGCCUCCAUAUUUCUCCAAAGAUGAGAUAUCUCUCUAACUCCCCCACUCUCUCACUCAUUUACAACUCAACAAAGAGGUUCAUGGAGUUCAUCAUGCUUGCAAAAAGAGUUGCAGGCCCCAUUUUCGUCCGAUCUAAAAGUCGAAAGACGCAAAGGAAACUCGAGUGACAAAGAGAACUCAAGCACUGAUUUGUGGUAGAGUCCGCGAUUUUCAAAUCCAAAAGGAA